GAUGAACGCUGGCGGCGUGCCUAAUACAUGCAAGUCGAGCGAAGCGGGGACGGGUGAGUAACACGUGGAUAACCUCCUAUAAGACUGGGAUAACUUCGGGAACCCGGAGAUAAACGGGAAAAUUAUAGAUGGAUCCGCGCUGCAUUAGCUAGUUGGUAAGGUAACGGCUUACCAAGGCAACGAUGCAUAGCCGACCUGAGAGUGUGACAGGACACACUGGAACUGAGACACGGUCCAGACUCCUACUGGAGGCAGCAGGAGGGAAUCUUCCGCAAUGGGCGAAAGCCUGACGGAGCAACGCCGCGUGAGUGAUGAAGGUCUUCGGAUCGUAAAACUCUGUUAUUAGGGAAGCGGUACCUAAUCAGAAAGCCACGGCUAACUACGUGCCAGCAGCCGCGGUAAUUC
rnacentral:rRNA from 1 species